GCUGGCCCGGGAAAGUGGAGGAGACCUGGGGAGCCAGGUAAAGGCCCUUGGUCGGGCUGGGCUGGGCACUGCAGCUGCAGUCGACCUGGGGACUAGUGUCGGAGGGGUGGAGUCAUUCAGGGGUCUGUUUUCUUAGGUGUAAUAUAGGUGAGAGAUUAGCUAAUCUGAAAGGCUCCUCACAGCCCUGACACUUCCUAUUCUAAGGGCCCUCCUGGCUCUGACAUUCCCUGUUCUAAGACCCCUCCUAGCCCUGACAUCCCCAGUUCUAAGGCCCUCCCAGCUCUGACAUUCCCUGUUCUAAGGCCCUCCUAGCUCAGACAUCCCCAGUUCUAAAGCCCUCCAAGCUCUUACACUCCCUGUUCUAAGACCCCUCCCAGCCCUCACAUUCCCUGUUUUAAGGUCCUUCUCAGCCCUGACAUUCCCUGUUCUAAAGCCCCUCCCAGCACAGACACUCCCUAUUCUAAGACCCCUCCCAGCUCUGACAUUCCCUGUUCUAAGGGCCUUUCCUGCUCUGACAUUCUGAUUCUAGGACCCCCAGAGAGGGUCCUGCCAACCUCCUCCCCCUCUGACCAGCAGGCCUCGUACGUUCUAGCACCCUCUCCCAGCACCAGAUAGCCCUCCUGCUCUGGGCCUCACAGCUGGCCUCUGAGUUCCUGGAGUUCAUGUGAUUUUGGAGAACUGUCCUCCAACUCCCCCUCCCACUCUGACCCCCACUCCCAACCCCCACAUCCUCCAGCACAGUCAUCGGAAAACUGCCAUGAGAGAAGACGCUAAAGAUAGUCAAGACACUCUCCCGACUUCCCCAAUUCUCAGUAGCCCCAGGUCAGUUUCCGUGAGGCUGCCACCGCCGGGCCUUCGUGCUGUUCCCAUAAGGACACCCUAGUUCCCAUGGAGACUGUAGCCCUUAGGAAUAAGCCUUAUGUCCGCACCAGCCCCCAGAUGCCAAGGGAACAUGCCAAGCCCUGGGGGCAGGUCAGCCAUCCUAGGGACCCACCUGGAGCUUAUGGUUAUACCCAUCACACCUUAAGCCCCUAUGGACACGCCAACUGCCAGAGAUCCAUCCUGGAAACACUGGCCAGUCGGAGAGACGCACCAGCCUUCUUGUGCCCCAAUCAACAGCAGCCACCGGCCUCUUCUCACCAUCUCUGUUUCCAGCCCAGGGCUCUCACCACUGCCUGGCCUGCCUCACAUCCCCCACUGCUGCUGCAGAGGCUGAGCUUUCUAGGGACUCGUGAGCCAGAUGUGCUUGUGUGAGGGAAGGACAGAGGAGGAGUCCCAGACACAGCAACUUCUGCAAAGCCCGUAGAGGAAAGAUGAAGUGAGAAAAGCCAAGGAGCCAGAUGGUAAAGCCUCCUUCUGGAAUCUUGACCUGACCCUGGGGGCUGUGUGUGCCUGUGUGUGUGUGUGUGUGUCUUGUGUGUGUAUGUCUGUGUGAGUGUGUGUGUGCAUGUGUGUGAGUGUGUGCAUGUAUGUGUAUGCCUGUGUGAGUGUGUCUUGUGUGAGUGUGUGUCUUCUGUGAGUGUGAGUGUGUGCAUGUGUGUGUAUGCCUGUGUGAGUGUGUAUGUCUGUGUGUGUAUGUGUGCAUGCGUGUGUGUGUGCCUGUGUGUGAGUGUGUAUGCCUGUGUGUGUGUCUUGUGUGAGUGUGUAUGUCUGUGUGAGUGUGUGUGUGCAUGUGUGUGAGUGUGUGCAUGUGUGUGUAUGUAUGUCUGUGUGUGUGAGUGUGUGUGGGUGUGUCUCUCUGUGUCUCGGUGUGACCUUGGGAAAGAAUUAAUAACGCCAACAGCAAGAAUAAUGAUGAUGGUGGUGGGAUAAGGAGGGAACAGCAGCUCUGAUUUCAGGAGGACUCCCGGGUGGAUACAACCCCUCCACGGAUGCUGAUCAGCACCUUCUCUGAAGUUCUCCACAGUUGCCCAGGGGUGCUGACAGGUUCAGGAUGGGCCAAAGGCCAAUCACUAGCAUUCACAUAGCACCUUAAGGCUCAAGGUCCUUCUCAUAAAUUCUCUCUUGAUCCCCCACAAGAACCCUGAGAAGUAAGAACAAUAGAAUGGACAGGCAAUCAGAUUUAGAGUUGCCGGAUGUGGGUUCAAAUCCUGCCUGUAUCCUGUGCUACCCAGGUGACCUUGGAUGAGUCUCUUCAUCUUUCUGGGCCUCAGUUUCUCCAUUUGUAAAAUGUGAGGUUUGGACUAGAUGGGCUCUGCGACCCCUUCUGAAUCUGAGGCCCAGACAGGAAGCGGGCUGCCUGCCAGCACAUGCUGGAUUCACACACGGGUCCCUUCUCUAAACAGUAGUAUAAAAGCAAUGGAUUCCCAACUUCCUUCCUUUCACGGCUUUCCCUCUUAUUUCCUGUUUCUCCCAUCUAUAGCUUGUCUGUGCACAUCUGCUUCCUCGUUAGACUGCGAGCCCCCCAGGAAGCUUUGGCCUUUCUUUGUAUCCCUAGCACUUAGCAUGGUGCCUGGCACAUAGUAGGAGCUUAAUAAAUGCUCGUUGACCAGCUGAUGAAAUAUGACU
ensembl:lncRNA